rnacentral:antisense_RNA from 1 species
GGAACACCAAUAGCAGUCUUGGAGCCUCUGGGCCAGAGGAACUGGGGCCUCCACCGACACCUGCUUGAGAAGAGGAGCCAAAACAUCAUAGUUGAACCGUCCUGGAAUAGAAACUCGCCCUGAAUUCUUUCUUGUGUGAAAUCCAAGAACCCUCUCUUGGGGUCUGGAUCGGGACCCUGUUCCUGUAACAAGUCCACAAUGCCAGAGAAUUAAAGAGAACCACAAAGUUUCUGCCAUUUCAGUUCCUGUUAUCAUGCUUCCAGGUGCACUGAACUGCAGCAAACCCAGGGGAUCCAAGGCUAUGUUGAAAAGCCUUUGACCGCAGUGCAGGGAGCAGAAGACAUUAAUGACGUGAUGUUGACGCAGCCCGCACUCAGGAUCCUCCAGAAAAAGAACACAGAGAUAACCCCAGAUCGAUGGUACUUUUUGAAAAUGCCUUACUGCAAAAGAGUGGCUAGGGUUUUACAAGGGCUGUGAAGAAACAUAUUAAGGUUAAUAAAGCUUUUUAUUGAGUGUUUA